rnacentral:rRNA from 1 species
AGAGUUUGAUCCUGGCUCAGAAUGAACGCUGGCGGCGUGCUUAACACAUGCAAGUCGAACGAGAAAGGGAUUGCUUGCAAUCCUGAGUAGAGUGGCGCACGGGUGAGUAACACGUAGAUAAUCUACCUUCAAGCCCGGGAUAACCAUUCGAAAGGAUGGCUAAUACCGGAUGCAGUGCAUAUGCACAAGUAUAUGUAUGAAAGACUGCCUCUUCUUGAAAGCAGUUGUUUGAAAGAUGAGUUUGCGUACCAUUAGCUUGUUGGUGAGGUAACGGCCCACCAAGGCUGUGAUGGUUAGCUGGUCUGAGAGGAUGAUCAGUCACACUGGAACUGGAACACGGUCCAGACUCCUACGGGAGGCAGCAGUGAGGAAUUUUGCGCAAUGGGGGAAACCCUGACGCAGCAACGCCGCGUGAGUGAUGAAGGCCUUCGGGUCGUAAAGCUCUGUCAAGUGGGAAGAACCCAUCCCGUAACAACACGGCGGGAUGCUGACGGUACCACUGAAGGAAGCACCGGCUAACUCCGUGCCAGCAGCCGCGGUAAUACGGAGGGUGCAAGCGUUAUUCGGAAUUACUGGGCGUAAAGGGCGCGUAGGCGGCCUCUUAAGUCGGAUGUGAAAGCCCGGGGCCUAACCCCGGAAGUGCAUUCGAUACUGGGAGGCUUGAGUAUGGGAGAGGGAAGUGGAAUUCCUGGUGUAGAGGUGAAAUUCGUAGAUAUCAGGGGGAACACCUGUGGCGAAGGCGACUU